CCUACGGGAGGCAGCAGUGGGGGAUAUUGCACAAUGGGGGGAACCCUGAUGCAGCGACGCCGCGUGGGUGAAGAAGCGCCUCGGCGCGUAAAGCCCUGUCAGCAGGGAAGAAAAUGACGGUACCGGAAGAAGAAGCCCCGGCUAACUACGUGCCAGCAGCCGCGGUAAUACGUAGGGGGCAAGUGGUAUGCGGAUUUACUGGGUGUAAAGGGGGCGCAGACGGCGAUGCAAGCCAGGAGUGAAAGCCCGGGGCCCAACCCCGGGACUGCUCUUGGAACUGCGUGGCUGGAGGGCGGGAGGGGCAGGCGGAAUGCGUGGUGUAGCGGUGAAAUGCGUAGAUAUCGGGAAGAACACCGAUGGCGAAGGCAGCCUGCUGGACUGCAACUGACGUUGAGGCCCGAAAGCGUGGGGAGCGAACAGGAUUAGAUACCCCUGUAGUC
rnacentral:rRNA from 1 species